UACGUAGGGGGCAAGCGUUGUCCGGAAUCAUUGGGCGUAAAGAGCGUGUAGGCGGCUUGAUAAGGUUGCGGUGAAAGCCCGGGGCUCAACCCCGGGUCGGCCGUGGCAACUGUCGAGCUGGAGCACUGUAGAGGCAGGUGGAAUUCCGGGUGUAGCGGUGGAAUGCGUAGAGAUCCGGAAGAACACCGGUGGCGAAGGCGGCCUGCUGGGCAGUGGCUGACGCUGAGGCGCGACAGCGUGGGGAGCAAACAGG
rnacentral:rRNA from 1 species